rnacentral:piRNA from 1 species
UGAGAGCAAUCGACGCUAGAUGGAAAU